rnacentral:rRNA from 1 species
CCUACGGGAGGCAGCAGUGAGGAAUAUUGGUCAAUGGGCGUAAGCCUGAACCAGCCAAGUCGCGUGAGGGAUGAAGGUUCUAUGGAUCGUAAACCUCUUUUAUAUGGGAAUAAAAUGUUCCACGUGUGGGCUUUUGUAUGUACCCUAUGAAUAAGGAUCGGCUAACUCCGUGCCAGCAGCCGCGGUAAUACGGAGGAUCCGAGCGUUAUCCGGAUUUAUUGGGUUUAAAGGGAGCGUAGGUGGAUUGUUAAGUCAGUUGUGAAAGUUUGCGGCUCAACCGUAAAAUUGCAGUUGAAACUGGCAGUCUUGAGUACAGUAGAGGUGGGCGGAAUUCGUGGUGUAGCGGUGAAAUGCUUAGAUAUCACGAAGAACUCCGAUUGCGAAGGCAGUUCACUGGACUGCAACUGACACUGAGGCUCGAAAGUGUGGGUAUCAAACAGGAUUAGAUACCCCGGUAGUC